UACGUAGGGUGCAAGCGUUAAUCGGAAUUACUGGGCGUAAAGCGUGCGCAGGCGGCUUUGCAAGACAGAUGUGAAAUCCCCGGGCUUAACCCUGGGAACUGCAUUUGUGACUGCAUGGCUGGAGUCCGGAAGAGGUGGGUGGAAUUCCUAGUGUAGAGGUGAAAUUCGUAGAUGUUAGGAAGAACACCAGUGGCGAAGGCGGCCCACUGGUCCGGUACUGACGCUGAGGUGCGAAAGCGUGGGGGAGCAAACAGG
rnacentral:rRNA from 1 species